rnacentral:rRNA from 1 species
AACGAACGCUGGCGGCAUGCCUAACACAUGCAAGUCGAACGAGAUCUUCGGGUCUAGUGGCGCACGGGUGCGUAACGCGUGGGAAUCUGCCCUUUGGUUCGGAAUAACAGUUGGAAACGACUGCUAAUACCGGAUGAUGACGAAAGUCCAAAGAUUUAUCGCCAGAGGAUGAGCCCGCGUAGGAUUAGCUAGUUGGUGUGGUAAAGGCGCACCAAGGCGACGAUCCUUAGCUGGUCUGAGAGGAUGAUCUGCCACACUGGGACUGAGACACGGCCCAGACUCCUACGGGAGGCAGCAGUGGGGAAUAUUGGACAAUGGGCGAAAGCCUGAUCCAGCAAUGCCGCGUGAGUGAUGAAGGCCUUAGGGUUGUAAAGCUCUUUCACCCGGGAUGAUAAUGACAGUACCGGGAGAAUAAGCUCCGGCUAACUCCGUGCCAGCAGCCGCCGUAA